rnacentral:rRNA from 1 species
UACGUAGGGGGCAAGCGUUGUCCGGAAUUACUGGGCGUAAAGCGCAUGUAGGCGGGAAGGUGUGUCGAACGUGAAAGGCUGCGGCUCAACCGCAGAGCGCCGUUCGAAACUGCCUUUCUUGAGGGCCGAAGAGGAGAGUGGAAUUCCCGGUGUAGCGGUGAAAUGCGUAGAGAUCGGGAGGAACACCCAUGGCGAAGGCAGCUCUCUGGUCGGCCUCUGACGCUGAGAUGCGAAAGCGUGGGGAGCGAACGGG